GAAGACGACCAUAAUAACUUGGAAACGCCCCUUACCAUUCCGAAUAGGGAAGCUAAGCAGGUUAUGUUGUGGAAAUAGUUUCCGAAGGGAAGUGAAAUUCACGAGUUGUCUUUC
rnacentral:rRNA from 1 species